GCUUCGGGUUGUAAACCUCUUUCAGUAGGGAAGAAGCGAAAGUGACGGUACUGCAGAAGAAGCGCCGGCUAACUACGUGCCAGCAGCCGCGGUAAUACGUAGGGCGCAAGCGUUAUCCGGGAAUUAUUGGGCGUAAAGAGCUCGUAGGCGGUUUGUCGCGUCUGCCGUGAAAGUCCGGGGCUUAACUCCGGAUCUGCGGUGGGUACGGGCAGACUUGAGUGAUGUAGGGGAGACUGGAAUUCCUGGUGUAGCGGUGAAAUGCGCAGAUAUCAGGAGGAACACCGAUGGCGAAGGCAGGUCUCUGGGCAUUAACUGACGCUGAGGAGCGAAAGCAUGGGGAGCGAACAGGAUUAGAUACCCUGGUAGUCCAUGCCGUAAACGUUGGGCACUAGGUGUGGGGGACAUUCCACGUUUUCCGCGCCGUAGCUAACGCAUUAAGUGCCCCGCCUGGGGAGUACGGCCGCAAGGCUAAAACUCAAAGGAAUUGACGGGGGCCCGCACAAGCGGCGGAGCAUGCGGAUUAAUUCGAUGCAACGCGAAGAACCUUACCAAGGCUUGACAUGAACCGGAACGGCGCAGAGAUGUGUCGGCCACUUGUGGCCGGUUUACAGGUGGUGCAUGGUUGUCGUCAGCUCGUGUCGUGAGAUGUUGGGUUAAGUCCCGCAACGAGCGCAACCCUCGUUCCAUGUUGCCAGCGGGUUAUGCCGGGGACUCAUGGGAGACUGCCGGGGUCAACUCGGAGGAAGGUGGGGACGACGUCAAAUCAUCAUGCCCCUUAUGUCUUGGGCUUCACGCAUGCUACAAUGGCCGGUACAAAGGGUUGCGAUGCUGUGAGGUGGAGCUAAUCCCAAAAAGCCGGUCUCAGUUCGGAUUGAGGUCUGCAACUCGACCUCAUGAAGUCGGAGUCGCUAGUAAUCGCAGAUCAGCAACGCUGCGGUGAAUACGUUCCCGGGCCUUGUACACAUUACCCGUCA
rnacentral:rRNA from 1 species